GACGAACGCUGGCGGCGUGCUUAACACAUGCAAGUCGAACGGAAAGGCCCUGCUUUUGUGGGGUGCUCGAGUGGCGAACGGGUGAGUAACACGUGAGUAACCUGCCCUUGACUUUGGGAUAACUUCAGGAAACUGGGGCUAAUACCGGAUAGGAGCUCCUGCUGCAUGGUGGGGGUUGGAAAGUUUCGGCGGUUGGGGAUGGACUCGCGGCUUAUCAGCUUGUUGGUGGGGUAGUGGCUUUCCAAGGCUUUGACGGGUAGCCGGCCUGAGAGGGUGGCCGGCCACAUUAGGACUGAGAUACGGCCCAGACUCCUACGGGAGGCAGCAGUAGAGAAUAUUGCGCAAUGAGCGGAAGCCUGAUGAGGCAACGCCGCGUGCGGGAUAACGGCCUUCGGGUUGUAAACCGCUUUCGCCUGUGACGAAGCGUGAGUGACGGUAAUGAGUAAAGAAGCACCGGCUAACUACGUG
rnacentral:rRNA from 1 species